CCUACGGGGGGCUGCAGUGGGGAAUAUUGGACAAUGGGCGAAAGCCUGAUCCAGCCAUGCCGCGUGUGUGAAGAAGGCCUUCGGGUUGUAAAGCACUUUCAGUGGGGAAGAAAGCCUUGGGGCUAAUACCCUCGAGGAAGGACAUCACCCACAGAAGAAGCACCGGCUAACUCCGUGCCAGCAGCCGCGGUAAUACGGAGGGUGCGAGCGUUAAUCGGAAUAACUGGGCGUAAAGCGCGCGUAGGCGGUCUGAUAAGCCGGUUGUGAAAGCCCCGGGCUCAACCUGGGAACGGCAUCCGGAACUGUCAGGCUAGAGUGCAGGAGAGGAAGGUAGAAUUCCCGGUGUAGCGGUGAAAUGCGUAGAGAUCGGGAGGAAUACCAGUGGCGAAGGCGGCCUUCUGGACUGACACUGACGCUGAGGUGCGAAAGCGUGGGUAGCAAACAGGAUUAGAUACCCCAGUAGUC
rnacentral:rRNA from 1 species